UACGGAGGGUGCAAGCGUUAUCCGGAUUCACUGGGUUUAAAGGGUGUGUAGGCGGGCAGUUAAGUCAGUGGUGAAAUCUCCGGGCUCAACCCGGAAACUGCCAUUGAUACUAUCUGUCUUGAAUAUUGUUGAGGUAGGCGGAAUAUAUCAUGUAGCGGUGAAAUGCAUAGAUAUGAUAUAGAACACCGAUUGCGAAGGCAGCUUACUAAACGAUUAUUGACGCUGAGGCACGAAAGCGUGGGGAUCAAACAGG
rnacentral:rRNA from 1 species